rnacentral:snRNA from 1 species
AUACCUUUCUCGGCCUUUUGGCUAAGAUCAAGUGUAGUAUCUGUUCUUAUCAGUUUAAUAUCUGAUAUGUGAGCCACUGGCUCACACGAUAUUAAAUUAAUUUUUUUAAGGGGGAAGAUCCAUUAAGGCAGCUUGCUGUCUGGGCUUUCGUGCGUCGCCUAUGUGUUGCACUACUGCAUGGGCCUGGCACACCCCAC